rnacentral:rRNA from 1 species
GUCUACGGCCAUACCACGUUGAAAACACCAGUUCUCGUCCGAUCACUGAAGUUAAGCAACGUCGGGCUCGGUUAGUACUUUGAUGGGUGACCGCCUGGGAACACCGAGUGCUGUAGACG